rnacentral:misc_RNA from 1 species
AAAAAAAAUUUACACACAGUUUAAGUAAAACAUGACUAUAAUAGACUUCAACUGGCUAGUUGGCAACCUAAACUCUGUCCUAUUAUUACGACAGGUGAGAAUUGAGGAUCUGAGUAAAUUUUCGCAGUCAUCAACAAACUUAUUUUCUGAACUGUGGUUUAUGAAGCUUUAGUAUUGAAUUCAGCUUAACUUCUCAAAACUGGAGUUAGAUCUCGCUGAGUACUCUGCCACUAGUUGUGCAAAUGACGAUGAAUUGCUUUCUAAUAACCUUGUUGGAGUGUCAUAUUCCUCGAUAAGCCCUUGACUCAGAAGCAGAACCAUGUCGCUAUCAAGAACAGACGUUAUUCGAUGUGCUAUGGUUAUGACGGUACAGUCAGAGAAGUGUUGCCUAAUGGUUUGCUGAAUCAAAUUAUCAGUAGCAGUAUCAACUGAGGCAGUAGCUUCAUCCAGCACCAAAACCUUACUUUUCUUCAGUAAUACACGCCCAAGACACACCAGCUGCCUCUGACCCAUACUCCAGUUCUCCCCAUUCUCUGUAACUGCAGAGUCUAGCUUUUUCUCCUUCUUCCUAACU